rnacentral:rRNA from 1 species
AGUGAACGCUGGCGGUAGGCCUAACACAUGCAAGUCGAACGGCAGCACAGUAAGAGCUUGCUCUUACGGGUGGCGAGUGGCGGACGGGUGAGGAAUACAUCGGAAUCUACUUUUUCGUGGGGGAUAACGUAGGGAAACUUACGCUAAUACCGAAUACGACCUACGGGUGAAAGCAGGAGAUCUUCGGACCUUGCGCGAUUGAAUGAGCCGAUGUCGGAUUACCUAGUUUGCGGGGUAAAGGCCCACCAAGGCGACGAUCCGUAGCUGGUCUGAGAAGAUGGUCAGGCACACUUGAACUGAGACACGGUACAGACUCCUACGGGAGGCAGGAGUGAGGGAUAUUUGACAAUGGGCGCAAGGCUGAUCCAGCCAUACCGCGUGGGUGGAGGAGGCCUUCGGGUUGUAAAGCCCUUGUGGUGGGAAAGAAAAACAGCAGGUUAAUACCCCGCUGUUCUGACGGUACCCAAAGAAUAAGCACCGGCUAACUUAGUG